CCACGCCGCUCAAGAACUACAAAGGAAUUGACGGGGCCGCACAAGCGUGGAGUAUGUGGUUUAAUUCGAUGCAACGCGAAGAACCUUACCUGGUCUUGACAUCCCGGAGACCCUUAGGAAACUAGGGGGUGCUUCCAUCUGGAAGAAUCUGGAGACAGGUGCUGCAUGGCUGUCGUCAGCUCGUGUCGUGAGAUGUUGGGUUAAGUCCCGCAACGAGCGCAACCCUUGCCUUUAGUUGCCAGCAGUUCGGCUGGGCACUCUAAAGGGACUGCCGGUGUUAAACCGGAGGAAGGUGGGGAUGACGUCAAGUCCUCAUGGCCUUUAUGACCAGGGCUACACACGUACUACAAUGGCCGAUACAAAGGGCAGCGACACUGCGAGGUGAAGCCAAUCCCGUAAAAUCGGUCUCAGUCCGGAUUGGAGUCUGCAACUCGACUCCAUGAAGUUGGAAUCGCUAGUAAUCGUGGAUCAGCAUGCCACGGUGAAUACGUUCCCGGGCCUU
rnacentral:rRNA from 1 species